UACGGGGGGGGCAAGCGUUGUUCGGAAUUACUGGGCGUAAAGGGCGCGUAGGCGGCACGGCAAGUCAGGAGUGAAAGGCCUGGGCUCAACCGAGGAACUGCUUUUGAGACUGCCGAGCUAGAGUGCAGAAGGGGCAACUGGAAUUCCCAGUGUAGCGGUGAAAUGCGUAGAUAUUGGGAAGAACACCUGAGGCGAAGGCGGGUUGCUGGGCUGACACUGACGCUGAGGCGCGAAAGCCAGGGGAGCAAACGGG
rnacentral:rRNA from 1 species